GAUGAACGCUGGCGGCGUGCCUAACACAUGCAAGUCGAACGAACCUGAUCUUCGGAAAAGGUUAGUGGCGCACGGGUGAGUAACACGUAGGUGACCUGCCCUGGAGUGGGGGAUAACUUCUCGAAAGAGAGGCUAAUACCGCAUACGCUCGGCCAUUCAGUUGGUCGAGUAAAGCUCCGGCGCUCCAGGAGGGGCCUGCGUCCGAUUAGCUAGUUGGUGAGGUAAUGGCUCACCAAGGCGAUGAUCGGUAGCUGGUCUGAGAGGACGAUCAGCCACACUGGCACUGACACACGGGCCAGACUCCUACGGGAGGCAGCAGUGAGGAAUAUUGGUCAAUGGGCGAAAGCCUGAACCAGCAACGCCGCGUGAGGGAUGAAGGCCUUCGGGUCGUAAACCUCUUUUCUGGGAGAAGAGACAAGGACGGUAUCCCAGGAAUAAGUCUCGGCUAACUACGUGCCAGCCGCCGCGGUAAAAC
rnacentral:rRNA from 1 species